CCUACGGUAGGCAGCAGUGAGGAAUAUUGGUCAAUGGACGAGAGUCUGAACCAGCCAAGUAGCGUGAAGGAUGACUGCCCUAUGGGUUGUAAACUUCUUUUAUAAAGGAAUAAAACGAGGCACGUGUGCCUUUUUGCAUGUACUUUAUGAAUAAGGAUCGGCUAACUCCGUGCCAGCAGCCGCGGUAAUACGGAGGAUCCGAGCGUUAUCCGGAUUUAUUGGGUUUAAAGGGAGCGUAGAUGGGUUGUUAAGUCAGUUGUGAAAGUUUGCGGCUCAACCGUAAAAUUGCAAUUGAUACUGGCAGUCUUGAGUACAGUUGAGGUAGGCGGAAUUCGUGGUGUAGCGGUGAAAUGCUUAGAUAUCACGAAGAACUCCGAUUGCGAAGGCAGCUUACUAAACUGCCACUGACAUUGAUGCUCGAAAGUGUGGGUAUCAAACAGGAUUAGAUACCCGAGUAGUC
rnacentral:rRNA from 1 species